rnacentral:rRNA from 1 species
AUUGAACGCUGGCGGCAGGCCUAACACAUGCAAGUCGAACGAGUGGCGGACGGGUGAGUAAUGUCUGGGAAACUGCCUGACGGCGGGGGAUAACUACUGGAAACGGUAGCGAAUACCACAUCCCAUCGGAUGUGACAAGAUGGGAGUGGCUAGUAGAUGGGGUAAAGGCUCACCUAGGCGACGAUCCCUAGCUGGUCUGAGAGGAUGACCAGCAACACUGGAACUGCGACACGGUCCAUACUCCUACGGGAGGCAGCAGUGGGGAAUAUUGCACAAUUGUCGCAAGCCUGAUUCAGCCAUUCCGCGUGUAUGAAGACGGCCUUCGGGUUGUAAAGUACUUUCAGCGGGGAGGCGUUACCCGCAGAAGAAGCACCUGCUAACUCCGUGCCAGCCGCCGCGGUAAUAC